CGAAUGGAGCGAGCGUUGUUCGGAGUCACUGGGCGUAAAGGGUGCGCAGGCGGUCAUGAAAGUUAGAAGUGAAAUCCCAGGGCUCAACCCUGGAAUGGCUUUUAAAACUCCAUGACUAGAGUAUUGGAGAGGUUAGCGGAAUUCCGAGUGUAGAGGUGAAAUUCGCAGAUAUUCGGAGGAACACCAAUGGCGUAGGCAGCUAACUGGACAAUUACUGACGCUCAUGCACGAAAGCGCGGGGAUCAAACAGGAUUAGAUACCCUGGUAGUCCACGCCCUAAUCGAUGUGUGCUAGUUGUCGGGCCCUUUAGGGUUCGGUGACGCAGCUAACGCUUUAAGCACACCGCCUGGGGAGUACGGUCGCAAGAUUA
rnacentral:rRNA from 1 species